rnacentral:piRNA from 1 species
CUGAUGUGUAAUGUAUAGCUAGG